rnacentral:rRNA from 1 species
AGAGUUUGAUCCUGGCUCAGGACGAACGCUGGCGGCGUGCCUAAUACAUGCAAGUAGAACGCUGACUACUUUAGCUUGCUAGAGUAGAAGGAGUUGCGAACGGGUGAGUAACGCGUAGGUAACCUGCCUACUAGCGGGGGAUAACUAUUGGAAACGAUAGCUAAUACCGCAUAACAGUGUUUAACACAUGUUAGAUGCUUGAAAGAUGCAAAUGCAUCACUAGUAGAUGGACCUGCGUUGUAUUAGCUAGUUGGUGGGGUAACGGCCUACCAAGGCGACGAUACAUAGCCGACCUGAGAGGGUGAUCGGCCACACUGGGACUGAGACACGGCCCAGACUCCUACGGGAGGCAGCAGUGGGGAAUAUUGCACAAUGGGGGAAACCCUGAUGCAGCGACGCCGCGUGGAGGAAGAAGGUCUUCGGAUUGUAAACUCCUGUUGUUGAGGAAAAUCGAGAUGGUACUCAACAAGGAAGUGACGGCUAACUACGUGCCAGCAGCCGCGGUAAAACGUAGGUCACAAGCGUUGUCCGGAAUUACUGGGUGUAAAGGGAGCGCAGGCGGGUAUGCAAGUUGGAAGUGAAAUACAUGGGCUCAACCCAUGAACUGCUUUCAAAACUGUGUAUCUUGAGUAGUGCAGAGGUAGGCGGAAUUCCCGGUGUAGCGGUGGGAUGCGUAGAUAUCGGGAGGAACACCAGUGGCGAAGGCGGCCUACUGGGCACCAACUGACGCUGAGGCUCGAAAGUGUGGGUAGCAAACAGGAUUAGAUACCCUGGUAGUCCACACCGUAAACGAUGAUUACUAGGUGUUGGAGGAUAGACCCCUUCAGUUCCGCAGUUAACACAAUAAGUAAUCCACCUGGGGAGUACGACCGCAAGGUUGAAACUCAAAGGAAUUGACGGGGGCCCGCACAAGCAGUGGAGUGUGUGGUUUAAUUCGACGCAACGCGAAGAACCUUACCAAGUCUUGACAUCCUGCGACGAUGCUGGAAACAGUAUUUUCCUUCGGGACGCAGAGACAGGUGGUGCAUGGUUGUCGUCAGCUCGUGUCGUGAGAUGUUGGGUUAAGUCCCGCAACGAGCGCAACCCUUAUGGAUAGUUACUACGCAAGAGGACUCUAUUCAGACUGCCGUUGACAAAACGGAGGAAGGUGGGGAUGACGUCAAAUCAUCAUGCCCUUUAUGACUUGGGCUACACACGUACUACAAUGGCGUUAAACAAAGAGAAGCGAAGUCGCGAGGCAGAGCAAAACUCAAAAGCAACGUCCCAGUUCAGAUUGCAGGCUGCAACUCGCUUGCAUGAAGUCGGAAUUGCUAGUAAUCGCAGAUCAGCAUGCUGCGGUGAAUACGUUCCCGGGCCUUGUACUCACCGCCCGUCA